AACGAACGCUGGCGGCAGGCCUAACACAUGCAAGUCGAGCGAGGACUUCGGUCCUAGCGGCGGACGGGUGAGUAACGCGUGGGAACGUGCCCUUUGCUUCGGAAUAGCCCUGGGAAACUGGGAGUAAUACCGGAUGAGCCCUUUGGGGGAAAGAUUUAUCGGCGAAGGAUCGGCCCGCGUUGGAUUAGGUAGUUGGUGGGGUAAUGGCCUACCAAGCCGACGAUCCAUAGCUGGUUUGAGAGGAUGAUCAGCCACAUUGGGACUGAGACACGGCCCAGACUCCUACGGGAGGCAGCAGUGGGGAAUCUUAGACAAUGGGGGAAACCCUGAUCUAGCCAUGCCGCGUGAGCGAUGAAGGCCUUAGGGUUGUAAAGCUCUUUCAGCUGGGAAGAUAAUGACGGUACCAGCAGAAGAAGCCCCGGCUAACUCCGUG
rnacentral:rRNA from 1 species